GCUAUUUUGGCAGAUAAUAUGUCCUAGACUUAGGAUCUAGUUAAAUAGAAAUGAUUCUAUAAAUAGUA
rnacentral:tRNA from 1 species